rnacentral:rRNA from 1 species
ACUGUGAAACUGCGAAUGGCUCAUUAAAUCAGUUAUAGUUUAUUUGAUAAUACCUUACUACUCGGAUAACCGUAGUAAUUCUAGAGCUAAUACRUGCUAAAAAACCCGACUUUACUGGAAGGGUUGUAUUUAUUAGAUAAAAAACCAAUGCGGUCUCGGCCGGUURUUUGGUGAUUCAUAAUAACUUUGCGAAUCGUAUGACUUUGCGUCGACGAUGAUUCAUUC